CGUAGGUGCGAGCGUUAAUCGGAAUUACUGGGCGUAAAGUGUGCGCAGGCGGCCGCGCAAGUCGAGUGUGAAAUCCCCGAGCUUAACUUGGGAAUUGCGCUCGAAACUACGUGGCUGGAGUGUGGCAGAGGAAGGUGGAAUUCCACGUGUAGCGGUGAAAUGCGUAGAUAUGUGGAGGAACACCGAUGGCGAAGGCAGCCUUCUGGGCCAACACUGACGCUCAUGCACGAAAGCGUGGGGAGCAAACAGGAUUAGAUACCCUGGUAGUCCACGCCCUAAACGAUGAUGACUAGUUGUUGGAGGAGUUAAAUCCUUUAGUAACGCAGCUAACGCGUGAAGUCAUCCGCCUGGGGAGUACGGUCGCAAGAUUA
rnacentral:rRNA from 1 species